UACGGAGGGUGCAAGCGUUGUCCGGAUUUAUUGGGUUUAAAGGGUGCGUAGGCGGUCCGUUAAGUCCGGGGUGAAAGCCCGUUGCUCAACAACGGAACUGCCCUGGAAACUGGCGGACUUGAGUACAGACGAGGGCGGCGGAAUGGAUGCUGUAGCGGUGAAAUGCAUAGAUAGCAUCCAGAACCCCGAUUGCGAAGGCAGCUGCCUAGACUGUGACUGACGCUGAGGCACGAAAGCGUGGGGAGCGAACAGG
rnacentral:rRNA from 1 species